AUGCGAAUUGUUUGUGCGGAAAAUGGUCGACAUACUGUUGCAUUGAAAAUGAUCUUUACAUGUAUUUUAUCGAAGUUGAUAGCUCACCUCACUGACAAGAGUAUUCAUGUCUGAGGAAUAGCUGCGCGAGUCACAGGAACCGGAAAUGUUUGCAGGUGGCGCACAUUGUUUCAGUAACUGCAUAGUCGAAAAAUUGGACAUCUUGUUCUGAUCCGAUGAUGACGUCACAUUAUGCAUGUUGCACCACCAAUCGGGCGUAGCGCCUCCGAACGUCAUCAUGAGCAUGCUCCACGUCACUGUGACCUUUGUCCCGAACAUGAUGACCAAUAGAAUGGCCUGAAACUUCCCCAGUCCGCCGCAUUCCUUCACGAUAUCUUCUAACAGGUCGCUAAUGGAAUCCAUCUUGAUGUUUACCUACUUGUAUGCAAGUGCUACGUCAACAAAACAUAUCUUUUAAAAAGAGUUUCGGGCAAUUGUUUGAAGUAUAAAACUGUCAGAUGAUCAUACCUGUGCCAAGGUGGCAUUUUUUUGCAUCCGUUUUUUUUUCCGCAUGUGUUUUUUUUAUUUGAAUAUGCCUGUAAUCGUGUGUCAUUAAAUAAACCAUUUUCUAC
rnacentral:sRNA from 1 species